rnacentral:rRNA from 1 species
GCGAACGCUGGCGGCAUUGCCUUAACACAUGCAAGUCGCACGGGCACUUCGGUGUCAGUGGCGGACGGGUGAGUAACGCGUAGGUAUCUGUCCUGAGGUGGGGGAUAACUGUGGGAAACUACAGCUAAUACCGCAUGAUGACUGAGGUCCAAAGGCGCGAGUCGCCCUUGGGAGGAGCCUGCGUUCGAUUAGCUUGUUGGUGGGGUAAAGGCUUACCAAGGCGACGAUCGAUAGCUGGUCUGAGAGGAUGAUCAGCCACACUGGGACUGAGACACGGCCCAGGACUCCUACGGGAGGCAAGCAGUGGGGAAUAUUGGACAAUGGGCGAAAGCCUGAUCCAGCAAUGCCGCGUGAGUGAAGAAGGUCUUCGGAUUGUAAAGCUCUUUCGACGGGGACGAUGAUGACGGUACCCGUAGAAGAAGCCCCGGCUAACUUCGUGCCAGCAGCCGCGGUAAUACGAAGGGGGCUAGCGUUGCUCGGAAUGGACUGGGCGUAAAGGGCGCGUAGGCGGUUUUGUACAGUCAGAUGUGAAAUUCCUGGGCUCAACCUGGGGGCUGCAUUUGAUACGUAUGGACUGGAGUGAGGAAGAGGGUCCGUGGAAUUCCCAGUGUAGAGGUGAAAUUCGUAGAUAUUGGGAAGAACACCGGUGGCGGAAGGGCGGCGACCUGGUCCUUGACUGACGCUGAGGCGCGAAAAGCGUGGGGAGCAAACAGGAUUAGAUACCCUGGUAGUCCACGCCGGUAAACGAUGUGUGCUGGAUGUGUGGGCGGCCAUAGCCGCUCAGUGUCGUAGCUAACGCGAUAAGCACACCCGCCUGGGGAGUACGGCCGCCAAGGUUGAAAACUCAAAGGAAUUGACGGGGGCCCGCACAAGCGGUGGAGCAUGUGGUUUAAUUCGAAGCAAACGCGCAGAACCUUACCAGGGCUUGACAAAGGAGAGGCUGUGUCCAGAGAUGGGCAUUCCCGCAAGGGCCCUCUUGCACAGGUGCUGCAUGGCUGUCGUCAGCUCGUGUCGUGAGAUGUUGGGUUAAGUCCCGCAACGAGCGCAACCCUUGCCUUUAGGUUGCCAGCACGUUUGGGUGGGCACUCUAAAGGAAACUGCCGGUGACAAGCCGGAGGAAGGUGGGGAUGACGUCAAGUCCUCAUGGCCCUUAUGUCCUGGGCUACACACGUGCUACAAUGGCCGGUGACAGAGGGAAGCCAGGUCGCAAAGGCCGAGCAGAUCCCUAAAAAGCCGUCUCAGUUCGGAUUGCACUCUGCAACUCGAGUGCAUGAAGGUGGAAUCGCUAGUAAUCGCGGAUCAGGCACGCCGCGGUGAAUACGUUCCCGGGCCUUGUACACACCGCCCGUCACACCAUGGGAGUUGGUUUGGCCUUAAGGCCGGUGCGCCAACCGUAAGGGGGCAGCCGUCCACGGCCCGGGUUCAGCGACUUGGGGUG